UGGGGAAUAUUGGACAAUGGGCGAAAGCCUGAUCCAGCCAUGCCGCGUGUGUGAAGAAGGUCUUCGGAUUGUAAAGCACUUUAAGUUGGGAGGAAGGGCAGUUACCUAAUACGUGAUUGUUUUGACGUUACCGACAGAAUAAGCACCGGCUAACUCUGUGCCAGCAGCCGCGGUAAUACAGAGGGUGCAAGCGUUAAUCGGAAUUACUGGGCGUAAAGCGCGCGUAGGUGGGUUGUUAAGUUGGAUGUGAAAUCCCCGGGCUCAACCUGGGAACUGCAUUCAAAACUGACUGACUAGAGUAUGGUAGAGGGUGGUGGAAUUUCCUGUGUAGCGGUGAAAUGCGUAGAUAUAGGAAGGAACACCAGUGGCGAAGGCGACCACCUGGACUAAUACUGACACUGAGGUGCGAAAGCGUGGGGAGCAAACA
rnacentral:rRNA from 1 species